UUGAAUAAAUCUGGAGGGCUGUCGCUGGCUUCUCGAGGCAUGUGCACGCUCUCCACCUUUAUCCAUCCACCUGUGCACCAUUUGUAGUCUUGGGGGAGAAAGAUUUGUAGUCUCACUGUGGAUUGCAAGGACGUCCUCUCAGGUCUAUGUCAUUUUCAUAUACCACAUUGUAUGUUGCAGAAUGUAUAUCAUGGGCCUACGUGCCUAUAAAAACACAAUA
rnacentral:misc_RNA from 1 species